AAUAUUGAACGUGAACUUCAGAUAUGGAGUAUUGGUUCUCCUGAUCCUAACUUCACAUUAGAUGGCCACUCAAAAGGCGUGAACCGUGUUGAUUACUUCACCGGUGGUCCAUUUUUUAUUACUGGAUCUGAUGAUCAGACUGCAAAGGUUUAAGAUUACCAAACCAAGAGAUGUGUUUAAACACUUGAAGGACAUGCACACAAUGUGUCUGCUGUCUGUUUCCAUCUAGAACUACCUAUUAUAAUUACUGGCUCAGAGGAUGGCACAGUUCGCUUGUGGCACUCUACAACCUACAGGCUUGAGAACACUCUUCAUUAUGGUCUUGAGCGAGUUUGGGCUUUAGGAUACAUGAAGGGGUCAAGAAGGAUUCUGAUUGGAUAUGAUUUAGGGAAAAUUAUGAUAAAAAUUGGCCGUGAAGUUCCAGUUGCUAGCAUGGACAACAGUGAAAAAAUCCUAUGGGCAAAACAUAACGAAAUCCAAACUGUUAGUAUCAAGACUGUUGGUGCAGGCAAUGAGGUUCUUCUUCUUUGCCAUGUUAAAUGUGCAGGAUUGUGA
rnacentral:rRNA from 1 species